rnacentral:rRNA from 1 species
GUGAGGAAUAUUGCUCAAUGGGCGAAAGCCUGAAGCAGCGACGCCGCGUGAGGGAUGAAAUCCGUUAGGAUGUAAACCUCUUUUGCAGGGGAUGAAUGUCCCGUUUCACGGGAUUGACCGUACCCUGCGAAUAAGCACCGGCCAACUACGUGCCAGCAGCCGCGGUAAUACGUAGGGUGCAAGCGUUGUCCGGAAUUACUGGGUGUAAAGGGUCCGCAGGCGGGUAAGCAAGUCGGUGGUGAAAUCCUGCAGCUCAACUGCAGAACUGCCUCCGAUACUGUUUAUCUUGAGUACGAGAGAGGAUGAUGGAAUUCAUGGUGUAGCGGUGAAAUGCGUAGAGAUCAUGAAGAACACCGGUUGCGAAGGCGAUCAUCUGGCUCGUUACUGACGCUCAGGGACGAAAGCGUGGGGAGCAAACAGGAUUAGAAACCCCAGUAGUCC